GCCCGAAUUGUCGAAGUAUAUGCCCCCCCCCCCCAUCCCUUUUUUGUAGACUUUUAGGUUGACAAAGAUUCGCCAGAAGACACGGGUCGAAGGAAUUCGCAGGCUAAGAUAAACCCCCACGUGUUGGAUCAAUGCCUAGAAACAGGAGUGUGGUAGUUUUCGGGAACAUGUAAUCGAAUUUUCGUAUACUGGGGGGUAUAUUUCUUUUGCUGGGGGUGUAUCACAGACCC